rnacentral:rRNA from 1 species
GACGAACGCUGGCGGCGCGCCUAACACAUGCAAGUCGAGCGAUGAAAUUUUAACCGAUCUCUUCGGAGAGAAGAUAAACUGGAUUAUCGGCGGACGGGUGAGUAACACGUGAUAAACCUGCCUUUCACAAGGGGAUAGCCUCGGGAAACCGGGAUUAAUAGCCUCUGACACAUUUUCUUCGCGUGGAAGAAAUGUUAAAACUCCGGUGGUGAAAGAUGGUUUCGCGCCUGAUUAGCUGUGUGGUAGGGUAACGGCCCACCAAGGCCAUGGUCAGUAACCGGCAGGGGAGGGUGACCGGUCACAUUGGAGCUGAGACCCGGUCCACACUCCUACGGGACGCAGCAGUGGGGAAUAUUGCACGAGGGAGGAAACUGUGAUGCAGCGACGCCGCGUGAGCGAGGAAGGCUUUCGAGUCGUAAAUCUCUGUGCGAUGGGAAGAUAAUGACGGUACCAGAGGAGGAAGCCCCGGCUAACUACGUG